CCUACGGGGGGCAGCAGUGGGGAAUAUUGGGCAAUGGAGGCAACUCUGACCCAGCAACGCCGCGUGAAUGAUGAAGGUCUUCGGAUUGUAAAGUUCUGUGAUGGGGGAUGAACACAAUGACGGUACCCCAAUAGCAAGCCACGGCUAACUACGUGCCAGCAGCCGCGGUAAUACGUAGGUGGCAAGCGUUAUCCGGAAUGACUGGGCGUAAAGGGUGCGUAGGUGGUAUAAUAAGUAGCUAGUGAAAUCUGGUGGCUCAACCAUUCAGACUAUUAGCUAAACUGUUAAGCUCGAGACCGUUAGGGGUAACUGGAAUUUCUAGUGUAGGAGUGAAAUCCGUAGAUAUUAGAAGGAACACCAAUAGCGUAGGCAGGUUACUGGGACGGUUCUGACACUAAGGCACGAAAGCGUAGGGAGCAAACGGGAUUAGAUACCCGAGUAGUC
rnacentral:rRNA from 1 species